rnacentral:tRNA from 1 species
GGAAAGGUGACAGAGUGGCCGAUCGUGCACGCCUGGAAAGCGUGUGUACCGCAAGGUACCGGGGGUUCGAAUCCCCCUCUUUCCG